rnacentral:rRNA from 1 species
UACGUAGGGGUCGAGCGUUGUCCGGAGUUACUGGGCGUAAAGCGCGUGCAGGUGGCUCAUUACGCCCGGCGUGAAAGCCCCCGGCUCAACCGGGGAGGGUCGUCGGGGACGGGUGAGCUUGAGGGUAGCAGGGGCUGGUAGAAUUCCCGGUGUAGCGGUGAAAUGCGUAGAUACCGGGAGGAACACCCGCAGCGAAGGCGGCCGGCUGGGCCAACCCUGACGCUGAGGCGCGAAGGCUCGGGGAGCGAACGGG